GAUGGCGACCGGCGCACGGGUGAGUAACACGUAUCCAACCUGCCGAUAACUCGGGGAUAGCCUUUCGAAAGAAAGAUUAAUACCCGAUGGCAUAAUUAAGACCGCAUGGUUUGAUUAUUAAAGAAUUUCGGUUAUCGAUGGGGAUGCGUUCCAUUAGGCAGUUGGUGAGGUAACGGCUCACCAAACCUUCGAUGGAUAGGGGUUCUGAGAGGAAGGUCCCCCACAUUGGAACUGAGACACGGUCCAA
rnacentral:rRNA from 1 species